UACAGAGGGUGCGAGCGUUAAUCGGAAUUACUGGGCGUAAAGCGUGCGUAGACGGUUAUGUAAGUCAGAUGUGAAAGCCCCGGGCUUAACCUGGGAAUGGCAUUUGAGACUGCAUAGCUAGGAUGCGGAAGAGGGAAGUGGAAUUUCCGGUGUAGCGGUGAAAUGCGUAGAUAUCGGAAGGAACAUCAGUGGCGAAAGCGACUUCCUGGUCCAGCAUCGACGUUCAGGCACGAAAAGCGUGGGGAGCAAACAGG
rnacentral:rRNA from 1 species